rnacentral:pre_miRNA from 1 species
AGGGCUUAGCUGCUUGUGAGCAAGGUCCACAGCAAAGUCGUGUUCACAGUGGCUAAGUUCCGC